UUCUAUCUCACUCAGCGUCAUGAUGACGUU
rnacentral:sRNA from 1 species